rnacentral:rRNA from 1 species
UGCGUAGGCGGAUUUUUAAGUCAGCGGUAAAAUGUCCGGGCUCAACCCGGGCGGCCGUUGAAACUGGGGAUCUUGAGUGGGCGAGAAGUAUGCGGAAUGCGUGGUGUAGCGGUGAAAUGCAUAGAUAUCACGCAGAACUCCGAUUGCGAAGGCAGCGUACCGGCGCCAGACUGACGCUGAGGCACGAAAGCGUGGGGAUCGAACAGG